rnacentral:rRNA from 1 species
CAGCAGCCGCGGGAAUACGUAGGGUGCAAGCGUUGUUCGGAAUCACUGGGCGUAAAGGGCGCGUAGGCGGCCUGUUAAGUCGGAUGUGAAAGCCCGGGGCUCAACCCCGGAACUGCAUCCGAGACUGGCAGGCUUGAGACCGGGAGAGGAGGGUGGAAUAUCCAGUGUAGAGGUGAAAUUCGUAGAUAUUGGAUGGAACACCGGUGGCGAAAGCGGCUCUCUGGCCCGGAUCUGACGCUGAGGCGCGAAAGCGUGGGGAGCAAACAGGAUUAGAUACCCCGGUAGUCCCUGUCUCUUAUAC